rnacentral:rRNA from 1 species
UGCCCNCUGAUUUAAUAAAUUAAAGGGCUGCAGUAUAUUGACUGUACAAAGGUAGCAUAAUCAUUAGUCAUUUAAUUGAUGACUUGUAUGAAGGAUUGGAUGAAAUAUAAACUGUCUUUAUUUUAAAUUAUAAAAUUUAAUUUUUUAGUUAAAAAGCUAAAAUACAUUAAAAAGACGAGAAGACCCUAUAGAGUUUAAUUAAAUUUUAAAUUUAUAAUUUUUUAUUAAAUUAAAAUUGAAAUUUAAAUAUUAAUUUUGUUGGGGUGAUAAAAAAAUUUAAUUAACUUUUUUUUAAUAAAACCAUUAAUAAGUGAUUUUUUGAUCCAAUUUUAUUGAUUAUAAGAAAAAAUUACCUUAGGGAUAACAGCGUAAUUUUUUUUUUUAGUUCAUAUAAAAAAAAAAGUUUGCGACCUCGAUGUUGGAUUAAGAUAAAAUUUAAAUGUAGAAGUUUAAA